rnacentral:rRNA from 1 species
CUACGGGGGGCUGCAGUGGGGAAUAUUGCACAAUGGAGGAAACUCUGAUGCAGCAACGCCGCGUGGAGGAUGACACUUUUCGGAGCGUAAACUCCUUUUAUAUAGGAAGAAGAUGACGGUACUAUAUGAAUAAGCGCCGGCUAACUCCGUGCCAGCAGCCUCGGUAAUACGGAGGGCGCAAGCGUUACUCGGAAUCACUGGGCGUAAAGAGCGUGUAGGCGGAUUAAAAAGUCAGAAGUGAAAUCCUAUAGCUUAACUAUAGAACUGCUUCUGAAACUCUUAAUCUAGAAUAUGGGAGAGGUAGAUGGAAUUUCUGGUGUAGUGGUAAAAUCCGUAGAGAUCAGAAGGAAUACCGAUUGCGAAGGCGAUCUACUAGAACAUUAUUGACGCUGAGACGCGAAAGCGUGGGGAGCAAACAGGAUUAGAUACCCGAGUAGUC